CAAGAACUUCAUUGAUGAAAACAAAACCUUCUUUAUCACUGCAUAGUCACUAACCUAGAGAAGAAGAAGCUACUCCAGCCAGAGAUUCUAUAUUAUAUAGGGAGAAAACAUAUUUCCAUACAUUUGGUGAUAAGGGUUGGAUUUUCAUCAAGCCAUUUCCUAGAACUUCCUUUGGCACAAAGAACAAGCAUUCUGUUCUCAUCUUGGAAGUUUUUGCACAUAAGCCAGCAGUAAGCCAGCAAACUACUAUGAUCCUUCUCCCAAACAGGAAACCCAUUGGACAGAAUGUAAU